rnacentral:tRNA from 1 species
GGGGUUGUGGCUUAGUGGUAUAGCGCUCGCCUCGCACAUGUGAGGCCCUGGGUUCAAGCCUCAGCACCA